rnacentral:rRNA from 1 species
GACGAACGCUGGCGGCGUGCUUAACACAUGCAAGUCGAACGGAAAGGCCCUGCUUUUGUGGGGUGCUCGAGUGGCGAACGGGUGAGUAAAAGGGGAUAACCCGCCCCUGACCUUGGGAUUACUUUAGGGAACCGGGGCCAAAACCCGAAAGGAACCCCCGCCGGCAGGUGGGGGGUGGAAAAUUUCGGCGGUUGGGGAUGGACUCGGGGCUUAUCAGCCUGUUGGGGGGGUAGUGGCUUACCAAGGCUUUGACGGGUAGCCGGCCUGAGAGGGUGACCGGCCACAUUGGGACUGAGAUACGGCCCAGACUCCUACGGGAGGCAGCAGUGGGGAAUAUUGCACAAUGGGCGGAAGCCUGAUGCAGCAACGCCGCGUGCGGGAUGACGGCCUUCGGGUUGUAAACCGCUUUCGCAUGUGACGAAGCGUGAGUGACGGGAAUGGGUAAAGAAGCACCGGCUAACUACGG